AAGCAUCAAAACCUGAUUCCUUCGCCUUUCCUCCUCACCCCCGCACAUUACGGGUACCCUCAUUUCGUGCUUCUCACAGGCACAGUCAAGGGAGGGGGUGGGGGGCGCAAGUCGUGGUUGGAAGGCGCAGAAGGCAAGGCACAACGAUAGGAUCAGCUAAUCGGUACUGCACCUCUGCUUAUUCAAGGAUCAUCAAGGCCAGUACCCGCCCAUGGGAAAGAUUGGAUCGGUUCUGCAAUCGUGUCCGCAAAGAGAGGCGGGGGAGUAGCUGUUCGAAUUCUCCAAACGAAAAGGAAGCAGUCGGUUUGUAGUCAUGAGUGUAGGGUCCACGUCACUGCCGCCGUUGCUCCCCUCCGGCGCCGAUCUUCUAGUCUGCAUCGCCUCCUACUGGCCAUCUGCAACACAAGGAAAUGGGUCGGGCGCCGUGCGGCGCCAGCAAAGGCUUCCACUCGCAUGGAUCGCUGCCAGCCCUGCAGCACGCGUUGUUGCGGAGCAGCGGCAUGCGUGGGUGGUGCUCCCCUUUACUCAGAUCGGCACCUGCCCCGCUGAUGCUGAAGUCGAUGGCGCUGCCAGCGACGGAGUAGAGAACACAUUCGGAUCCGUUCUAGCAAACGCCACCGUGCAGCCAAGAGUGCUGCAGGUCGCUCUGAAGACGGACAGCGCGGAUGCGAGCGCAACCGGACUUGUCUCUUCGUCUUCGAAGCAAACCGCACACGGGAGCGUGGUUGCGAGUGUACUGUCGUGGCUGAGACGGACCGGGGAGAGCCUCGCAGACGUUGGUCACGCAGUCUCGCCAGUGAGGCCUGCAUCGCUUUCUUUCAACGGCCCCGCCUCUCCCCCAUCCACGCCGCUGAAGACGGCCAAAGGCAGAAGCAUCUCAGCGGCACGAGGUGUGAAAAACGCUGCGGACGCAGCUGGAUGCUGCGGAGCUCAUAUUGGCGGGAUCACAGUAGUGUUGGUGUCGGGUGUGCACGAGCUCGACGCGGCCGGCGCCGGCGCAGCAUUCACCGAAGGCAGAGCGUCGAGCGACGGAGCAGCGAAGCAGAAAGGCGCCUUUCCCACCCACGGCGAAGGAAAGCCGGCAGCACUGAGCCCACGUCUCCUCUUCCCCUCUACCACGUCGUGUGGCGGCUCCGUCGCCUCGAUGCUGUCAGUCCCACCCAAUGCAGCGGUCUACAAUGGCAUGGCUGGAGGGAGCAGGGAGGAAAGGAUGCCGUCCACCACAAACAGUAUUUUCCGCGCUGGGGCAGAAUUGCACGGCGACGAUGGCGGGGCCGACGAUGAGACCGCAAACGACCCGAAGACAGCCACAUCGGUGUAUGUGGUGCAGCAGUUCAGCGAGCUUCGGCACCGCAUACGCGAAGCACAACGGCAACGAGCGUCUGCGGCCGCCGUGUCAUCACGUGGGCUUCUUACCACGGUAUGGUACCGUCAAGUGUUUGUGGGCACUGCGGAAGCGACAGACAAGGCGCUGUGCGGUGUCUCACAGUGGUGGUUGCAGCGCUCGAUACGAAGGCACGAACUUCCCACGACGGCCUCCCAAGCCAUCAGCCUCACACACGGAAGCCAUAGUGUUCGCGUCAGUGGUAGUAGCUACAAUGAGCCGCGAACGCUUCCACCGCCGUUGCUGCACAUCAAGUACGUGGACGACGUCUUCGCAGAUCUUUGGUGGCCGCGCCGCUUCAUUAUGAUCGUGUAUCACCGCCUCUCAGAGCGGACGGCGCAUGCCCCGUGGGCGGCAAAGUUGUUUCUGCUGAUGUGGAUGAUACUCGUUGUCUUUGUAGAAAGCGUUCUUCACGGCGUUCUGCAAGUCGCUCCGCCCCUCCGCGCCAGUGAUGAGCGGCACAGCGGCAGCGGAAACGGCACGAGCCACCAAUGCCGCGUCCCUCCCGUGGAUCUCAUCUCUGCCUUCCACAAAAUGGGAAGGGUCUACGGAAGGCACCAGUUGGCAGCUCUCGAUGUGAGUCACACUGGAGUGCGUGGCACCCACCUACUCGCCUGCGUCCUCGGAAGCGUGAUGACACCGCCGACGACCAGUGAGGGCGAGGCAGCUGUGGCGCAUGGCAAGGGAUUGUGGGCGCUGGACGUGGCAGGGUGCACGCAGCUGCGCCACCGUCGCGGGGAGCUGUAUGCCUUGUCCCACAUGCUGGACCAACUAUGCAGCCACGCUGCCAGUCGAGUUGCUGAGCUCUCCCUAAGGGAACCUUCUGGAACGCUCGCCGUCGCCGACCUCCUUCUCUCCCUCUCCUUGCGAGAUGGCUCGCGGUUUGCUUCUCCGUCCGCCACCGGCCUCGCACUGGCCCUUUUGACACACCACGGUCAUCUCACCUGGGUGUGCGCCGCCGGCAGCGACGUGGACAGUGCCGCUUUGCGUGAGCUGGGUCGGUACGCGCUGCUGGUGGAAGCCGCUGCGGCGACGCAGCAGCCUCAACCGCCGCACUCACCGAUGUGCACCUUACGCGCACUCGACCUGACCAGCGCUCUGAGGGUUGAUGAUGUAAACCCGAUGGGGUACUUGACGCAGCUGGAGCAGCUGCUACUGCCCUUCACCUACGUUGACGACGUAGGCAUCGGUAGCCUCGACGGUCACACAUACGCGCAUGACCUAAGUGCGAUGUUGGCGUUGUUCACUACAGCGAUAGCAAAAGAGGCCCCUGAGCUACCAGAUGACGCACAGAAAUCGCUGCAGAGUACUCUGGACGCUCUGCAGCAUCUUAUCCUCAUCGACGACGACGGCGCUGGGCAAGCGGAUGUGCACCGCGGGAAUCCGCGCAAGGAUCUCGUGGAGGCGCUUCACCAGAAGUUCCGCUCCCAUCUGUAUCACCUCGACCUUACAUACUGUCUCUGUGUCUCAAGUGUAAAGGGCCUGGUGCGCCAGCAGCAGCUUGAGCUGCUGAACCUUAGCCAAACUCGAGUGAACAAGUUUGGCCUGUUCGGUGGCACAGACCCGCAUGACUCAUCAGGGUCGUCCGCGUCCGCGGCUCAGCCCCGUCGCACGCCGCCUCUCCGACUCUUCAUUGCGGAGAUGUGCGAGCAUCUCAGUGACCUCAGCGGUCUCGCUCACAUAAGCACACUCGAGUGUGUCAUUGUGCGCAGUGGCUCCCUCGGCGAUGAUGGGCUGCGUGCCCUGUGCACCCCUGACAUGCAGCGCCUGCAGCUGAUGGAUCUGAGCUACUGCGAUCGCCUGCACCAUGUAGGGUGCCUGGCGCAGCUGCCCGCCUUGGAGACACUCAUCCUGGACAGCACCGACGUAACCCCAGCGGAGGUGAAGCAGCUUCGCUCCAGUCGCUCUCUGCACACGCUAUCACUGCGCUUUUGCACCGAGUUUGCCUUCAUUGGCAGGGACUUGGAGAAGCUGGAGGCGGUAGUGGGCACCUUCGCAGCGCUCAAUAGGUACCUGUAUGAGGACCUUGCCGGAGAUGAUGAGCUUCGCAAGAAGACGAACUGACAUGCGCUCUAGGCCAUGCGUUCAUCUUUGCUGUCCUCCUUCCCUAUGUGAAGAGCCAGUGUGCUGGCGCAUCGCGUCAGCUGGCUCCGCACAGGGGGAGGGGAAGGGGAGCCGGGCGGUAUCGCCUCGGAAAAGGCCCUUCGUGAUAAUAGCGCAGCUCUCUUCCAAGUCCAAACUAUUCUUCACAUGGCUUUCCAUCCACCCAUACUCUCUCAUCCUCUUCUCCAGCCCGGCUAGUCUCUCAGUAUCACGAAUGCGGAGCUAAACGAGAAACGAUGGAAGAGGCGGAGGUGGAAUGUCCGUCACCACUCGCGCGCGAUGCCUUGUCGUUUUGUUGUUCUCCCCCCCACCCACCCACCCACCUACACACCCACCCCGGUGUAACGUGGAGGGGGAGCAAUGGUGGGUCGGGGACGCAGGACAGGGCAGGAUAUACGCAUGACGUCUGCUGCCUCCGCUGCGACCUACUCUGUGCUUGUAUGUGUGGCUUUUGUGCGCAUAGAUGUUGGACGUGCCGCCUGGCCUCUCUCUUCACGUAGCCCCAUUUUUUUCUUUCGUUUUGCUUUUUCUUGGUGCCUGUUUUCUUUCUCACCAUUGCAUAAG
rnacentral:misc_RNA from 1 species